AUUGAACGCUGGCGGCAUGCUUUACACAUGCAAGUCGAACGGUAACAGGCCUUCGGGUGCUGACGAGUGGCGAACGGGUGAGUAAUGCAUCGGAACGUGCCCAAUCGUGGGGGAUAACGUAGCGAAAGUUACGCUAAUACCGCAUAAGCCCUGAGGGGGGAAAGUGGGGGACCGCAAGGCCUCACGCGAAUGGAGCGGCCGAUGUCAGAUUAGCUAGUUGGUGGGGGUAAAGGCCCACCAAGGCGACGAUCAGUAGCGGGUCUGAGAGGAUGAUCCGCCACACUGGGACUGAGACACGGCCCAGACUCCUACGGGAGGCAGCAGUGGGGAAUUUUGGACAAUGGGCGAAAGCCUGAUCCAGCCAUGCCGCGUGUCUGAAGAAGGCCUCGG
rnacentral:rRNA from 1 species